rnacentral:antisense_RNA from 1 species
CUUGAGGCUCCCGAGCCAGAGCGGCCUGUCCUUGGCACGGGCGCGCCCGUACGUGGCAAAGAGCGCCUGGGCCUC